AAGGUCCCAAAGUCAUGGUUAAGUGGGAAACGAUGUGGGAAGGCCCAGACAGCCAGGAUGUUGGCUUAGAAGCAGCCAUCAUUUAAAGAAAGCGUAAUAGCUCACUGGUCGAGUCGGCCUGCGCGGAAGAUGUAACGGGGCUAAACCAUGCACCGAAGCUGCGGCAGCGACACUGUGUGUUGUUGGGUAGGGGAGCGUUCUGUAAGCCUGCGAAGGUGGCCUGUGAGGGUUGCUGGAGGUAUCAGAAGUGCGAAUGCUGACAUAAGUAACGAUAAAGCGGGUGAAAAGCCCGCUCGCCGGAAGACCAAGGGUUCCUGUCCAACGUUAAUCGGGGCAGGGUGAGUCGACCCCUAAGGCGAGGCCGAAAGGCGUAGUCGAUGGGAAACGGGUUAAUAUUCCCGUACUUGGUGUUACUGCGAAGGGGGGACGGAGAAGGCUAU
rnacentral:rRNA from 1 species